rnacentral:siRNA from 1 species
UUCGGAUCACGGCCAGCGACUGU